rnacentral:tRNA from 1 species
GGGCAGAUAGCUCAGAUGGUUAGAGCGCUGGCCUUACAAGCCGGAGGUCCCAGGUUCGAUCCCUGGUCUGCCCA